CCCGACCAGAGCCAGGGCCGAGAUCAGUGCCUGGUCUACGCUACCCAGAGAUGUCAAGAGAAACAUGAACUGGACCCUGUUCCCUCCAUCUACUAGAGCACGUUCCCCGCAUGGAAAGUAUGACCUUGAUUUUGUGCACCUGCGGGAACAGAUGCAGGCCGCCUUACAACAGCCACAGGUCCUUUUGAACCAUACAGACUGGCAGCAGUUUCUCCAAGGUUGCAGGAAGGAAUCUCUCUCAGCCCUAUCUUGGCGAUGCCAGGAAGGAAACUUGGGACCAGCUCGCCUCUACAUAAAGUUGAAGGGAGGCCAAAAGGAAGACAAGUCCACAUAAGAAGAGCCUUGCUGGAUCAGGCCCAAGGUCUAUCUAUCUAGUCCAGCAUCCCAUUUCCCACAAUGGCCAACCAGAUGCCUCUGGAAAGCCCACAAGCAGGAAAUGAAGACAUGCCUCUCACCGGCCCUUACUCCCCUGCAAAUUGUGCUUGGAGGCAUCCUGCCUCUGAACUUAUAGCCAUCAAGCCUAGUAGCCAUUGGUAGACUUGUCCUCCAUGAAUCUGUCUAAGCCCCACUUAAAACCAUCCAAGCUGCUAGUCAUCACCCCAUCCCAUGGCAGAGAAUUCUAUCGAUUAAUUCGAUUCCAUAGAUUAAUAGUUGCCUGUCUGAUUUAAUAGUUUGUCUGUUUUUCAUCUUGCUGUUGCUCCUCUGCAACUAAUACAUAGCAGGACUAGAGACCUGUGGCAAGCAGUGGCUAAGGCGGGGUCAGGGAAAGCUGGGUCUCACACCAGAACCAUCCUACUCUAGGAGUCAAGUCUCACAAUCAGUGAGACUCGCCAGAAGGGGGUUUGAGGGGAAAGUGGGCUUAGCCCACUCUCCCCGCAGAUGAUCAUACAGUCUGCCCUGGGCAGCUGGAUCGACCGCCCACAUGACUGCCGGCUCCAUCACGGUGCAGGUGGAGGCUGCGGGGAUCGGGGGCUGCACACCCCCUGGAAGGCCCAGUAUGCGAGUAUGCGGGGCAUCCUGGAGAGACCCCCAGGGCCGGGAGGCUUGUUUCAGCCUCCCGGUGGGGGUCUCUUCAUGUGUUGCCGCGGUGUGGAAAUACACAAUCCAAAAAACGGGGUUAGCGGAGUGCUCACUCCGCUGACCCCAUUUAAGGGGAGGGGUAUUUCAGCGCGUCACCCGCUUUGGAGAAACCAGGCUCGCCUGCGAGCCCAGUGGUUCUCAUGCUUGGCAGAAAUCAGGCUAGGUUCCCUUAGCCCGAUUUUGGCCGAUCGUGAGAAUCGCCUCUAUAUAUUCUUGCUCCUUGCAAUGAGCCAUUGGGGGAAAAGAAACUAUUUUCUCUUCCUGGGUUCUGACAUGGCUCUAUCACCUACUGUUUCUCACUGGCCUGGCUGGGCUGUAAAUGCCUCUGGGUCAGGCAAUAGGUCUUUGCUGGGGUAGCAUUCAGAUUCUGGCCUUAUCUGCAGCCCUCUAGAGUCUCUUUAUGGGAGCCCCUCUACUUGUCAGCCAAUCUGCUCACUAUUCAGUCUUCCUCCCACCUCCCACCUGUAGGAUCCACAGGGAAGAGUUGUGGUAUGCAAGGACAAGGCAGUGUAGUCAAAUCAGGAAUAUUAAUAGAUUAAUAAAGUCCUCCAAACCUGCCUGGGCUUUGAAUGACCUGGGGGAAGGGCUGUAAUUCAGAGGUAGAGCACAUGUUCUGCAUGUGCAAAAUUAUCCCAAAUUCAAUCCCUGCUAUCUUCAUGUAAGGCUGGGAAAGACCCCUGUCUGAAACCUAUGGAAUUAUGUGCCACAGGAUGUGGUGAUGGCCACUAGCUUGGAUGGCUUGAAAAAGGGCUUAGACAAAGUCAUGGAGGACAUGGCUACAGGCUACCUCCAGCCUCGGAGUCAAGAUGCCUCUCAAUACCAGUUGCAGGGGAGCAACAGCAGGAGAGAGGGUAAGCCCUCACCCCCUGCCUGUGGGCUUCUCAGAGGCAUCUGGUGGGCCACUGUGUGAAACAGGAUGCUGGACUAGAUAGGCCUUAGGCCUGAUCCAGCGGGGGUGCUCUUAUAUUCUUAACCCUGCAGACUUGUUACCAGUCAGACAAUAUGGAGCUGGAGGAACCAGUGCUCCGAUUUGGGAUAAAGCAGUUUCAUAUGAUCUGCUAAUAAAUAACAAUAACAACAACAACAACAACAACUUGAAGAAAGAAACAGAGUGUUUAAUACUGGCUGUGCAAGAACAGGCACUAAGAACAAAUGCAAUAAGAGCAAAAGUUGAAAAAUCAACCACAAACAGCAAGUGCCACCUUUGUAAAGAAGCAGAUGAAACAGUGGACCACCUAAUCAGCUGUUGUCAAAAGAUCACACAGACUGACUACAAACAAAGGCAUGACAAGGUAGCAGGGAUGAUACACUGGAACAUCUGCAAAAAAUACAAGCUACCUGUAGCCAAAAAUUGGUGGGACCAUCAAAUUGAAAAAGUUGAAGAAAAUGAAGAUGUAAAAAUAUUAUGGGACUUCCGACUACAAACAGACCAACAUCUGCCACACAAUACACCAGAUAUAACUGUAGUCAAGAAGAAAGAAAAACAAGUUAAAAUAAUCGACAUAGCAACAAUACCAGGUGAUAGCAGAAUAGAAGAAAAAGACAUAGAAAAAAUCACCAAAUACAAAGAUCUACAAAUUGAAAUUGAAAGGCUGUGGCAGAAAAAGACCCAAAUAAUCCCAGUGGUCACUGGCACCCUGGGUGCAGUUCCAAAAGACCUUGAAGAGCACCUCAACACCAUAGGGGCCACAGAAAUCACCAUCAGCCAAUUCCAAAAAGCAGCUUUACUGGGAACAGCCUAUAUUCUGCGACAAUAUCUAUAACAAUUGACAAUAAAAUUCAGCCAUCCCAGGUCUUGGGAAGGACUCGAUGUUUGGAUAAAACAAACCAGUCAAUAACACCUGUCUGACUGUGUAAACCAAAUAUAAUAAUACCAGGUGAUAGCAGAAUAGAAGAAAAAGAAAUAGAAAAAAACAACAAGAUACAAAGAUCUACAAAUUGAAAUUGAAAGGCUGUGGCAAAAACAGACCAAAAUAAUCCCAGUAGUAAUUGGCGCCCUAGGUGCAAUUCCAAAACAACUUGAAGAGCACCUCAACACCAUAGGGGCCACAGAAAUCACCACCAGCCAAUUACAAAAAGCAACUUUACUGGGAACAGCCUAUAUUCACGACGAUAUCUAUAAUAAUAACAGCAGCAACAAUAUUGAUAAUAAAAUUCAGGCAUCCCAGGUCCUUAGGAAGGACUCAAUGUCUGGAUAAAACAAACAAGUCAAUAGCACUUGUCUGACUGUGUAAACAAAAAUA